rnacentral:rRNA from 1 species
UACAGAGGUCCCAAGCGUUGUUCGGAUUCACUGGGCGUAAAGGGUGCGUAGGUGGUUGGGUAAGUCUGAUGUGAAAUCUCCGGGCUCAACCCGGAAAUGGCAUUGGAUACUAUUCGGCUAGAGGUUUGGAGGGGGGACUGGAAUUCUCGGUGUAGCAGUGAAAUGCGUAGAUAUCGAGAGGAACACCAGUGGCGAAGGCGAGUCCCUGGACAACACCUGACACUGAGGCACGAAAGCGUGGGGAGCAAACAGG